rnacentral:rRNA from 1 species
GAUGAUGGGUAGCCGAUCUAAGAGGAUAAUCGGCCACACUGGAACUGGAACACGGUCCAGACUCCUACGGGAGGCAGCAGUGGGGAAUAUUGCGCAAUGGGCGANAGCCUGACGCAGCGACGCCGCGUGAGGGAUGAAGGUCUUUGGAUCGUAAACCUCUGUCAGGGGGGAAGAAAUGGAUAGGCUCUAAUAGGGUCUAUUUUUGACGGUACCCCCAGAGGAAGCACCGGCUAACUCCGUGCCAGCAGCCGCGGUAAUACGGAGGGUGCAAGCNUUAAUCGGAAUUACUGGGCGUAAAGCGCGCGUAGGUGGUUAUAUAAGUCAGGGGUGAAAGCCCACCGCUUAACGGUGGAACAGCCUUUGAUACUGUAUAACUUGAGUAUCGGAGAGGGUGGCGGAAUUCCAGGUGUAGGGGUGAAAUCCGUAGAUAUCUGGAGGAACACCAGUGGCGAAGGCGGCCACCUGGACGAUAACUGACACUGAGGUGCGAAAGCGUGGGGA